rnacentral:rRNA from 1 species
GACGAACGCUGGCGGCGUGCUUAACACAUGCAAGUCGAGCGGUAAGGCCCUUUCGGGGGUACACGAGCGGCGAACGGGUGAGUAACACGUGGGUGACCUGCCUUUAGCUCUGGGAUAAGCCUGGGAAACUGGGUCUAAUACCGGAUAUGACCCUAUGGCGCAUGUUGUGGGGUGGAAAGCCUUGUGCGGCUAGGGAUGGGCCCGCGGCCUAUCAGCUUGUUGGUGGGGUGAUGGCCACCAAGGCGACGACGGGUAGCCGGCCUGAGAGGGCGACCGGCCACACUGGGACUGAGACACGGCCCAGACUCCGUACGGGAGGCAGCAGUGGGGAAUCUUGCGCAAUGGGCGAAAGCCUGACGCAGCGACG